AGUAAGGUCAGCUAAA
rnacentral:tRNA from 4 species